UCUGCAAAAGGUGUUCAGCCCCCCUUCUUCGGACGCAAGUUUAACUUUGUUUUUUCCUUGCAAAAAAUCUAAAAUACCCCUAUUUUCAAACAGCUCUCAAGGCGUAUUUUGGGGGGGAGGGGGAUGAGGGUUACUUUUCAUAAAGCGGCGUUCAUCCUCCUUCGUUUAGAGGGGAUUUGGGGAGCCACGCCCCCUCCCCCUCCGCCCACACCACUAAAUCGUUUAAAACUAAUUAAGUAUUU